UGAGUAACCUGCCCUUCACUCUGGGAUAAACUCCGGGGAAAACCGGGGCUAAUACUGGAUANUGACUCGAACAGGCAUCUUGGUUUUCGGGGUU
rnacentral:rRNA from 1 species